AAUAGCAGCCGCACCCGAGUGCCCGUUAGCGUCCGAUCUUGGAAGCUAAGCCAGGGCCGUGCCUGGUUAGUACUUGGAUGGGAAACCAGCUUGGAAGACCAGGGGCCGCUAUCC
rnacentral:rRNA from 12 species